UGCAGCCAAGUCAAAUUCAGUUCCCGUCUUCUCAUGAUGGGAGCUGGCCCAGAUGGCUGCCACAGCAAACUGCUGCUCAUGGGCCCUGGGUCCCCUGCCCUGGGACCUAGGGAUAAAUUUGGCUGCAGACAUUG